GUUCUGCGUAGUUUAGUGGUUAUGACGGGGCCUUGUCAUAAACCAGAUCGGCCCAGACCCGGGUUCAAUUCCCGGCGCGGAAG
rnacentral:tRNA from 1 species